GAUGAAGAACGCAGCGAAAUGCGAUAAGUAAUGUGAAUUGCAGAAUUCAGUGAAUCAUCGAAUCUUUGAACGCACAUUGCGCCCGCCAGUAUUCUGGCGGGCAUGCCUGUUCGAGCGUCAUUUCAACCAUCAAGCCCCCGGCUUGUGUUGGGGACCUGCGGCUGCCGCAGGCCCUGAAAAGCAGUGGCGGGCUCGCUGUCACACCGAGCGUAGUAUCAUACAUCUCGCUCUGGGCGUGCUGCGGGUUCCGGCCGUUAAACCACCUUCAUAACCCAAGGUUGACCUCGGAUCAGGUAGGAAGACCCGCUGAACUUAAGCAUAUCAAUAAGCGGAGGA
rnacentral:misc_RNA from 1 species